ACAAAAUAUGUAUUAUAUAAACAGCAGAUAACUCAAAUGAAAUAAUUGAUCCAGCAUAUGAUCAAUUUGAAAUUGAAGUAUGGCCGAGUGAUGAUAAUAAUAAGAACGAAGACCCUAUCAGAGAAGACAUAUUACUUUCAGAUGCCAAUGUUAUACAAAUACCAAGUGUAUCAACAUGGACUUCUUCUGAUUCGGUAAAGCUUUUGAAAACAAAACCAAAAGCAACUGAGCUAAGUUUCAGUGAUACACCCCAUAAAAAAAAAACAGGUAAUAUAUUUCUGCUUUG